CUCCCCAUCCACCCCGACGUCGCGAGAUCCCCCCUCUCCCACGCACGCGAUGCUUCCCUCUAUCUCGCUGCCCUCGCGCCGCCGCUCCAACAUCGCGCUCCCCAUGCCAUGGCACUCCAUCGCCACCACCCCCUACCCCAGAGGCAGCACCGCCGUCGAUGCGACCCACGGCACCGCCGACGCCGUGAAGUCGCUGCUGCUCCGCCCUCGCCGGCACCGAUUCGUGACUCGCGCUCCACAAGGCAAACCCUAAUGGUGCGGUUGAGGCCUCUGGCAUGACCAGGUCCUCUGUCCCCAAACGUCGCUCGGAGGAAAGGACUGAAGCAAAGAACACUUCCAUCCCCUACACUCUAACCACUUGCAAGGCCCUGCCCCGCCUCAAACUCCAGCGUUUUCAUCUCGUGGCUUAAUCCUAAUCGGGCUGGCUGGACCGCAACCCUAUUCGGGGUUAAUUGGGAUUGCUACUCUGCGACUGCCCGUCCCUCGUAAUCUUGGAUUGGCAAAGCGAAUCGACUGGUUUCCUGCAGGUUGAGACGUUCUCACUUUAAAAUUAUCUGACUUUGUUGUGCAAUGCAACAAGCUUUGAAAGGUUAAGACGAUCUCACUUUAAGAUUAUCUUACUUCGAUGUGCAGUGCAACAAACUUUGAAAGGUAACUGCUGUGGUGUAUGAGUAAAUUAUUUUAUAGACGUUUUUAGUGCUUGGGAUCCAUGUACUUUGCACUUAUGCAGCGUGUCCAACUAUAUUUCAUGCACAUGGUUUCCUAAAAUGCUUGACAACUUAUAUUGACAGAUCCCUGAUUUCACCAAAAUGUCAGGUCAUUUUUUAGAGCACUCAGCCAUGACAAAUGUUUGUCUGGUUUCCAGUAUUUGCUAUACAAGGCUUAGCCUUUAAUUAACUAUUUUGAUUAUUAAUUAACUAUUUUAUAUGGACCCAUCUGUUGAAGCUAAUAUACUGGCCGGAGGCUCAAGAGGCUAAUUUUCCUUCUGAUCCACCUCAACUGGAAGGUAUUUUUUGAUUUGCAUGCACUAUUGAUUUCCAUAUACUGGCCGGAGGCUUAAUAGACAUUCAAUAGUAUUGACAAUAUAAAUCAUGACUAUCAAGAGGGCUGGAAGGAUCUAAUCUCGAGCAUUGUCGAAUGGUUGAUGCUAUUUGGCACUUGUACCUGGCCGGUGGAAGUGCACAUUGAGAUAAUACUGAUGAAAAUGGUCGCAUUUAAAUUAUUCAAAUCCACACAAAUAAAAUGAUAGAGGUCAUGCGUUUCUCCAUAUCUUAAUUUGCAUGCUUCUUAUGUGUGUUAUUCCUCCUAUCCACGCAAGGAGAAGCAACUUCUCAUUAGUGGCUAUAAAUGGGUUGUAGCUUAAAUCAAUGGUCAUCCAAGCUUUCUAUUGAACAAGUGUCCUUUGUACUUUCUCUAGUUUGCAAAUGUUUGACGUUUGAGAAUCAAAUGUUUGAUGUUUGAGAAUCAAGGUUAGAACCAUCCAAAUUCAUUACUAUUCAUGUUAUCUAUGUGAGGCAACAUUUAUUUCUUAUUUCUAUUUUCAGGCCAUUUUCACCUUAAUCUACCAUUUGAAACCACUUCAGCCUUUGGUGAAAAUCCGAGUGGUAGUCGUCCAUGGACACCAACCAGCAGCGCAGCCGGAGCCAGAGCCCCGUGGGAUCAGUGGUGGAAGACCUGACUGUAAGAUGCAAAUAACUUUGCUCAGUUUUUUUUUGAAAGAAAUAUUUGUGUUUAACAAAUGAUGUUUUCAUAAAUGAAUUGAAUAUACUAUAGUGGACCGACACCUUAAUGUCAUUCAGUUUGUCGAAGAUGUCACUCAGAACAUACCUAUGAUGAUUGUUUCUGAACUCAAUACAGAGGUAAUAUAUAGCACAAUGUAUUUUUUCCAUGGAGAACAAACUUACUGUAGUCUUCUGACCAAAAGUAAUUUUGACUGUGCUACUAUUAUUUAUAUGUGUAUGAUAUGUACGAAAAUUAUCCUUUGAUGGGUUGACUUCAUUAUUGUACUAUGGAACUUACAAAGACUUAUCAGUCUGUAUCGAGAAGAAAGGAAGGUUACAUUCUCAGAAGGUGCUAAAAUAUGACUUUGAUAUUUCCAGGUACUUCUGGAUUUUGAUCCUGACAAGAGCUUAAGAAACAAAAUACGUAUUUAUUUAUGAUGUGAAACUGUCAUAUAUAGUAUGUUUAUUGUAUUAGUUUGAAUAUGAAUCUUAAAAGAUUGCAGCUCACAAAGGUGAUAUCUCCAAUCAAUCAGAUGAUAUCUUUUGUUAUGCUACUACUGUGCUUUUGUAGCUACAAGUUUUUUUCCUUUUGGUCAGAAUAAUCUUUAGUGCACUCAUGAGAAAACGUGUGGCUGAUUUCUAUUGUCGUUGCCAUUCUACUGACUUAUUUCCUUAUCAGUUAUCAUCUCCUAUUGUUCUGUCAUCAUUGUUUUCUAGGUGACGAAGUCCAUCUUCACCUUUGGAUUCUACAUCUUGCUAGCAGUGCAUCACCUUAGAAUUCGAGAAGAUACUCAAGGAGAUGUUGAAAUAUUUCUCUUUGUAGUUAUAGAAGGGCACUUGUUCAUUAUCAUUAUUUUCUCAGAAUUCUAAUAUCUUUUCACUAUAAUCAAGGUCAGGAUCUUGUCUUAUCUCUAUUCCUAAAAGCCCGACAAUUGUCAACAUUUGCAAACAUUGUUCCCACCAUGUUUGUGCUACUGGCAUUUGCAAAUAAGAGUUCAUAUUCGAGUCGCA